GAUGCUUUGCAAUUGCAUAGAGACAAAGGAAAGAGCAGCUUCUGGUUUCGUGUAGAUGCUUCUUCUUCCUUUCCCUCUUUUUUGAAAUGCUGACUGAACCAAAACAUUCAACAAAACCCCUCUCAUGGACUCUCUGUUUUCUCUAACCCCAAAACUCCGAUCAUUCAAUUCCAACCCUCUUCUUCUUUCCACCAAGUUUCACUCUAGACCCACUUCCAUCUCUUCUUCUCAAUCUCCAUCAACCUCCAGUUCCAGUCCCGAAGACAAUCCCCGAAGAAUCCCCACCUGGGUUUCCUUCCCCAUCGUGCCAACCCUUAAAAAGGUGGCAGCUCUACGAACCCAGAAGAAGGGUUCGCAUGUUUGUUGUUACUCGCAGAACGGAGGGUUGGGAGUGGCUUUGUUGAGCAUUACAACCAACGCUAAGGUUCGGUUCAGUCCCUUUGUGGCUACAUUGGCUCGGAACCCCACGUUUGUUUCGGGGUUUGUUGCAUGGUUUGUAGCACAAUCCACCAAGGUAUUACUGAAUUUCUUCGUUGAAAGGAAAUGGGAUUUGAGGCUCUUGUUUGCUUCUGGUGGGAUGCCUUCUUCUCAUUCCGCACUCUGCACCGCCCUCACCACUUCCGUUGCCCUGUGCCAUGGUGUUGCUGAUUCCCUGUUUCCUGUUUGUUUGGGGUUUAGCCUUAUUGUCAUGUAUGAUGCAAUUGGUGUUAGACGACAUGCUGGCAUGCAAGCUGAGGUGCUUAAUAUGAUUGUUGCUGACUUGUUCCAAGGUCAUCCUAUUAGUGAAAGGAAACUCAAGGAACUUCUAGGUCACACUCCAUCUCAAGUUGUUGGUGGUGCUUUGCUUGGGCUUUUAGUAGCAUGUUUUUGUUGUCAAGCUUGCGUUCUUGUGGCUUAGGCGAUCAUAUUGCAGUUUUGAUCAAACUGUAUUGAUAACACAUUAUUUGCUUUGAUGCAGCCUUCUGGUAUAUGCAGUGGGCUGCAUAAUUGGCACGCUAUUCAAGCACUGUCUCAUGAACUCGUUCAAUGAUAUGGCAGCUCAUCUGAUGUAGUUAAUGAUUUGGACCUAUUAAGACACCUUCACGCCAUCCUUUCUUCCUCUACCUUUCAUCUUCAUUUUCUCUAUUUCCUCCCUUUGUACCUCCUCCUUUCCUUUCCCAUUUAACCCAUUGAGUGUGUUGUGUUGUGUAGGAUCUUCUAAGAUAAAGCCUCCUUUUAUCUUCAAGAAGUUUAAGAUGUCAAAGCCCUAGGUUGCAGCUAUGUAGUUUUUGGUGGUCAAAAGACUUGUGAUUGUGGUCUAUUGGCAACUCACGAACUUUCUCAGAGUGUUGAAGCUAUGAUGGUCAUGAGUGCGAGUUCAAUGGUCAUGAGCCUCAAACAGAACGACAUUGUGAGCAACAUAAAAAAGUUUAGCUGACACGUGAUGUCUUCAACGAAUCUCUUGCAACAAGCAUGGUCUUCACUUCACCAUUUGAAUCUCGUGCAUCAUGUCAAAAUGCUGCUGAAGGAUGUGUGGCAGGCGGUUGGUGAUGGCCUACAUGAAAGAUGACGGUGCUAGACCGAUGUAGAUCUUAAUGGGGGAAGCUGAGGGGUAACGAGUACAACUCAAAGAAUCUUCCACAAUGUUCUACGGGAUGCCCCACUUUUCUUAAAAGAAUUCAGUUCAGUGAAACUCAAAAGCUAGACCAUUCAAUAUUUGACUACCUUGAUGGUAUCAUAACCUAUGACCAUUUUUUGUUACACACAAAGGAUUCGCAACUACUUUUAGUUUA